CUAAAAUUCUAAUUCAUUCUUUCUCCCCUCUCAAAACAAACCGCCGCCCCUCCCUGCUAUUCCUUCUCCCGACGCCUCUUUCUUUUCUAGCGAGACUCACCACCACGUGCUGGUGGCAGCCAACUCUCUCUCCCUCUCACCUUCCUCUUCCCUCCUCUCGUCUGUCUUUCCUUUCGUAUUCUCCUUUUCCUUUCCUCUUCGCUUGCAGGGACAGCAUCAGGCGCAGCAACAGCCACCAGCCACCAGCCACCAGCAGUUUCGCCUAGGACUGCCAGGAAGCAGCGACCAGCAAUAGUGCCUUUCCAGCGCCGCCUCGACUCCUCUUCUCCGCCUCUCGUUCUUCUUGCUCUUUUCCUUCUUUUCCCUUUCUUUUUUUUGCAAGACCAACAAAAGCCAGGGACAACGUCGGACAGUAACGACUUCAGGGAGCUCCUCAAACUGCAAGACCCUGUCACAGUUGCUGCUCAGAUCAGAAAAUGGGAAGCAACCCAAAGAUAAGGCGGAUAUCCAAGGUUCGCCCUAGGUUUUGGACUUAAAGUUCAAGAUGAUGAAGAGUGACCUGAAGAAAUUUCGAACAAAGCUUUGUUUAUUAUGUUUUGUAUUUUUUCAUCUGUUAUUUUAUUUACAGUAUAUUUGUAUAACACUAAAGAAAUUCAUAUAUGAUGAAAUUUGAGGGAUCGCCUAGGAAGGGGAAAUUAUGUGUU